UACGGGGGGAGCAAGCGUUGUUCGGAUUUACUGGGCGUAAAGGGCGCGUAGGCGGCCAGCGCAAGUCAGUUGUGAAAUCUCCGGGCUUAACUCGGAACGGUCAACUGAUACUGCGCGGCUAGAGUGCAGAAGGGGCAACUGGAAUUCUCGGUGUAGCGGUGAAAUGCGUAGAUAUCGAGAGGAACACCUGCGGCGAAGGCGGGUUGCUAGGCUGACACUGACGCUGAUGCGCGAAAGCCAGGGGAGCGAACGGG
rnacentral:rRNA from 1 species